UAGGGAAUCUUCGGCAAUGGACGAAAGUCUGACCGAGCAACGCCGCGUGAGUGAAGAAGGUUUUCGGAUCGUAAAACUCUGUUGUUAGAGAAGAACAAGGGUGAGAGUAACUGUUCACCCCUUGACGGUAUCUAACCAGAAAGCCACGGCUAACUACGUACCAG
rnacentral:rRNA from 1 species